rfam:Oryza rufipogon genomic scaffold, chr07
AAUAAAUACAGUGUUGCACUAUUUAUUUUCAACGUUUGAUCGUUCGUCUUAUUUAAAAGAAAUUUAUGAUUACUAUUUUUAUUGUAAUUAGAUGAUAAAACAUGAAUAAUACUUUAUGUGUGACUAAUUUUUUUAAAUUUUUUUAUAAAUUUUUCAAAUAAGACGGACGAUCAAACGUUGGACACGGAUUUCCACGGCUACAUUUAUU